rnacentral:rRNA from 1 species
CGUAGGGGCGAGCGUUGUCCGGAAUCAUUGGGCGUAAAGCGCGUGUAGGCGGUCCGGUAAGUCCGCUGUGAAAGUCGGGGGCUCAACCCUCGGAUGCCGGUGGAUACUGUCGGGCUUGAGUACGGAAGAGGCGAGUGGAAUUCCUGGUGUAGCGGUGAAAUGCGCAGAUAUCAGGAGGAACACCAAUUGCGAAGGCAGCUCGCUGGGACGUUACUGACGCUGAGACGCGAAAGCGUGGGGGAGCAAACAGGAUU